rnacentral:rRNA from 1 species
UACAGAGGUCUCAAGCGUUGUUCGGAUUCAUUGGGCGUAAAGGGUGCGUAGGUGGCGCCGUAAGUCGGGUGUGAAAUUUCGGAGCUUAACUCCGAAACUGCAUUCGAUACUGCGGUGCUUGAGGACUGGAGAGGAGACUGGAAUUUACGGUGUAGCGGUGAAAUGCGUAGAUAUCGUAAGGAAGACCAGUGGCGAAGGCGGGUCUCUGGACAGUUCCUGACGCUGAGGCACGAAGGUCAGGGGAGCAAACGGG